rnacentral:rRNA from 1 species
UGCGAGUCGAGAGGGUUCGGCCCUCGGCGUACUGCUCAGUAACACGUGGAUAACUUAACCUAAGGAAGGGGAUAAUCCCGGGAAACUGGGGAUAAUACCCUAUAGAUUACAGAUGCUGGAAUGCUCUGUAGUCCAAAGUUCCGGCGCCUCAGGAUGGAUCUGCGGCCGAUUAGGUUGUUGUUGGGGUAAUGGCCCAACAAGCCAGUGAUCGGUACGGGUUGUGGGAGCAAGAGCCCGGAGUUGGAUUCUGAGACACGAAUCCAGGCCCUACGGGGCGCAGCAGGCGCGAAAACUUUACAAUGCGGGCAACCGUGAUAAGGGAACCUCGAGUGCCUGUAUAUGCAGGCUGUCCAGGUGUCUAAAACACACCUAAAGAAAAAACCAGGCAAGACCGGUGCCAGCCGCCGCGGUAAUACCGGCGGCUCGAGUGGUGGCCACUUUUAUUGGGCUUAAAGCGUUCGUAGCUGGGUUGUUAAGUCUCUUGGGAAAUCUGGCAGCUUAACUGUCAGGCGUCUAAGGGAUACUGGCAAUCUUGGGACCGGGAGAGGUGAGGGGUACUUCGGGGGUAGGAGUGAAAUCCUGUAAUCCUCGAGGGACCACCUGUGGCGAAG